GGCUGCAGAACGAUGCCCAUGCUUCACUCCAGCCCUUGGCACAGGGCAGAGAAAUGGCUGCAGCGGAGCCAGUUCAGGGGCCGGUGAGCCUCGAGGAGGUGGCUGUGUAUUUCACCGCGGGGCAGGGGGCUCUGCUGGACCCCGCUCAGAGAGCCCUCUACAGAGACGUCAUGCAGGAGAACUAUGAGAACGUGACCUCGCUGGGGUGUCCAGUUUCCAGACCUGAUGUGAUCUCCCAGCUGGAAUGAGGGGAGGAGCCGUGGGUCCCGGAUCUCCAGGGCUCUGAGGAAGGAGAGAUCCCCAGAGGUCCCUGCGCAGGUGCUGGGAUGGUGAGUGAGGAGAAGAAGCGGAAUCCUCAGCAGGAAGAUUCUGAGCAAGUGGCACCACAUGGGGGAUUAUCGCACGGCUCCAGAGGGAAUGUGUCCCGGCAUCGUGUGCAGGGCAAAGCCUGUGAGAGUCAGCACAGGCCAGAGAGGGAGCAGAGAAACAAGCCAGCAGAGAAAGUGGGUAACUCCAUUAAUAGUCAGGGAACUCACCAGGACCUCCUGGAAACCACAGCCCAGCCGAGAAUACCCACAGGAGAGAGAAAAAAACACAUGCAC